GAUGAACGCUGGCGGCGUGCCUAAUACAUGCAAGUAGAACGCUGAAGCUUGGUGCUUGCACCGAGCGGAUGAGUUGCGAACGGGUGAGUAACGCGUAGGUAACCUGCCUCUUAGCGGGGGAUAACUAUUGGAAACGAUAGCUAAUACCGCAUAAAAGUCGAUAUCGCAUGAUGUUGAUUUGAAAGGUGCAAUUGCAUCACUAAGAGAUGGACCUGCGUUGUAUUAGCUAGUUGGUGAGGUAACGGCUCAC
rnacentral:rRNA from 1 species